GCGUACGUGGUGAAAUGGUCAACACAUCGGAUUGUGGUUCCGACAUUCGCGGGUUCAAUUCCCGUCGUACGCC